rnacentral:tRNA from 1 species
GGCCCGUUGGUCAAGCGGUCAAGAUACCGCCCUCUCACGGCGGUGACGGGGGUUCGAUUCCCCCACGGGUCACCA